rnacentral:rRNA from 1 species
UGGGGAAUAUUGGGCAAUGGGCGCAAGCCUGACCCAGCCAUGCCGCGUGAGUGAUGAAGGCCUUCGGGUCGUAAAGCUCUGUGGGGAGGGACGAAACAGCACGUGGCUAACAUCCACGGGUCUUGACGGUACCUCCUUAGCAAGCACCGGCUAACUCCGUGCCAGCAGCCGCGGUAAUACGGAGGGUGCAAACGUUGCUCGGAAUCAUUGGGCGUAAAGCGCACGUAGGCGGCUUGUUAAGUCGGGUGUGAAAUCCCUGGGCUCAACCCAGGAAGUGCACUCGAAACUGGCGAGCUUGAGUAUGGAAGAGGGUCGCGGAAUUCCCGGUGUAGAGGUGAAAUUCGUAGAUAUCGGGAGGAACACCAGUGGCGAAGGCGGCGACCUGGGCCAAUACUGACGCUGAGGUGCGAAAGCGUGGGGAGCAAACAG